rnacentral:rRNA from 1 species
GUCCACACCGUAACGAUGAUUACUAGGUGUUGGAGGAUUGACCCCUUCAGUGCCGCAGUUAACACAAUAAGUAAUCCACCUGGGGAGUACGUUCGCAAGAAUGAACUCAAAGGAAUUGACGGGGCCCGCACAAGCAGUGGAGUAUGUGGUUUAAUUCGACGCAACGCGAAGAACCUUACCAAGUCUUGACAUCCUGCGACGAUGCUGGAAACAGUAUUUCCUUCGGGACGCAGAGACAGGUGGUGCAUGGUUGUCGU